UAAGUUUGGUGCUCCAAAAAGGCUUCUCACGGACCAAGGAAGAGAAUUUGUUAAUACGCUCAACUAUAAUGUCUGUGAGAAGCUUGGCAUUAAGAGAAGUCUCUGCUCUCCCUACCACCCCCAGACCAACGGCUUGGUGGAAAAAAUGAACGGAACUAUUCAGAGGACCUUGACCAAAUUGGUGGGGGAAAAGCCAAACACCUGGGAUGGCCACCUCCAAGCAACCCUUUUUGCUUUAAGGACGAAGAAGCAAUUGACCACCAG